AUUGAACGCUGGCGGCAGGCUUAACACAUGCAAGUCGAGCGGGGUGAUGGUGCUUGCACUAUCACUUAGCGGCGGACGGGUGAGUAAUGCUUAGGAAUCUGCCUAUUAGUGGGGGACAACAUCUCGAAAGGGAUGCUAAUACCGCAUACGUCCUACGGGAGAAAGCAGGGGAUCACUUGUGACCUUGCGCUAAUAGAUGAGCCUAAGUCGGAUUAGCUAGUUGGUGUGGUAAAGGCCUACCAAGGCGACGAUCUGGAGCGGGUCUGAGAGGAUGACCCCGCACACUGGGACUGCGCCACAGCCCAGACUCCUACGGGAGACAGCAGUAAGGAAUAUUGGACAAUUGGGGGAACCCUGAUCCAGCCAUGCCGCGUGUGUGAAGAAGGCCUUAUGGUUGUAAAGCACUUUAAGCGAGGAGGAGGCCCUUUUGGUUAAUACCCAAGAUGAGUGGACGUUACUCGCAGAAUAAGCACCGGCUAACUCUGUGCCAGCCGCCGCCGUAA
rnacentral:rRNA from 1 species